rnacentral:rRNA from 1 species
GACGGACGCUGGCGGCGUGCUUAACACAUGCAAGUCGAGCGGAAAGGCCUUUCGGGGUACUCGAGCGGCGAACGGGUGAGUAACACGUGAGUAAUCUGCCCUGUGCUCUGGGAUAGCCACCGGAAACGGUGAUUAAUACCGGAUAUGACCAGCCUACGCAUGUGGUGUUGGUGGAAAGUUUUUUCGGCGCAGGAUGUGCUCGCGGCCUAUCAGCUUGUUGGUGAGGUAAUGGCUCACCAAGGCUUUGACGGGUAGCCGGCCUGAGAGGGUGACCGGUCACACUGGGACUGAGACACGGCCCAGACUCCGACGGGAGGCAGCAGUGGGGAAUAUUGGACAAUGGGCGGAAGCCUGAUCCAGCAACGCCGCGUGAGGGAUGACGGCCUUCGGGUUGUAAACCUCUUUCAGUACCGACGAAGCGCAAGUGACGGUAGGUACAGAAGAAGGACCGGCCAACUACGUGCCAGCCGCCGCAGUAACAC